AAUAAACGCAGAGACGAGUUUCCGUGUCCAACUUUGAUUUUCCGUCUUAUUUAAAAAAAAUUUAUAAUUAAUAUUUUAUUGUUAUUAUAUUAUCAAAUAUGAAUAAUAUUUUACAUGUGACUUAUUUUUUUUAAAAAAAAUAGACGAAUGAUUAAAGUUGAACACGAAAACUCAUGGUUAUGUUUAUU
rfam:Oryza glaberrima chromosome 3 Oglab03_0113_6, whole genome shotgun sequence.